rnacentral:rRNA from 1 species
UACGUAGGGCGCAAGCGUUGUCCGGAAUUAUUGGGCGUAAAGAGCUCGUAGGCGGCCAGUUGCGUCUGCUGUGAAAUCCCGGGGCUCAACCCCGGGCGUGCAGUGGAUACGGGCUGGCUAGAGGCAGGCAGGGGAGAACGGAAUUCCCGGUGUAGCGGUGAAAUGCGCAGAUAUCGGGAGGAACACCGGUGGCGAAGGCGGUUCUCUGGGCCUGUACUGACGCUGAGGAG